UUCAAGUUAAUUUCCGAUGACGUUUUGGAAAUGAUUUCGUGGUCGUGGACACGAGUACGAAGCUUAGAGGAGUGUGGAAUUAGUUCGAACGAUUUUAUUUUGAAAACUGAACGUUUUAGGGGGGUCAAAGGAGUUGACUUUUUAUACAUUGGGAAAUUGGGAAAACUUCCUUCAUGAAAGUUGUAGAGCGCGUCGAUACGAGUUCGUGGACAUAUGGAACGUAAUAUUCGGAGUUCGUAUGAAUAAGUUACGAAUAUUUGAAAAUUGGGAUUUUCUAUAAAUAUGAAAAAAAAUCCGAAUAUUGCAAAUGAGGACAGAAUUUCUGGAACUCCAGAAAUUUCUCCCCAUUUCUCUCCCGAGCCCAGCCGCGACCCCCUCCCUUCGUCACCUUCGUUCUUCCUCAUCCGGCCACCGAUUGAUGUGAAACAAAGUGGGUUUUUCUGGUCUCGACCCCCUUUACGAGUUUGUAGAAGAAAUCGAAGUGAAAUACGAGCUGUAUGAGGCUCUACAAGGUCGAGAAGAGAGCCUCGUCGGAGACGAAAUCGCUCUUCCCCACUUUUUCUGGGCUCUACUUUGUCUGGCCAUAUCUUCCUCUACAGGCCUCCGAUCGGCCUGAUUCCAAAAGCAAUUUUUCUCACCGUGAAGUUUUCUACAACUUUCCAGAAGACAUCGACUUGAGAUAACCAUCGUGGUGGCCGCUAGAAGACCGAGAAGCCGCACAGCCGAGCUGGAAAUCGUCUUCCUUCGCCACCUUGGUUCUCCCAGCUCCGGCCACUAUAGCUCGAGUUCUUUGAGGGUUUUUCUAGCCCAGAGGAAGUAGAAGCUAUCCCCAAGAAGGCUUGCAGCGAUUUGAUCCGGGGUGAUCGAAUUUUGAAGAUUGGGAAACUAGGGUUCUUCGGGUUUCAAAACUUGCGAGGUGAUUGACGGUCUCCCUUGGGUGAACGAUUUCGGUGUGUAUUGUGUUGAAUUGAAGACGCAGCGGGAAUAUCGAGCGGGUAAUCCUGCAGGUCAGGAGAAUCAGGACGGUGAUCGUGCGGGUUAGAGAAUUUGUUUUAGUUUUACAGCAAUUGUAAUUGUGAGGUGAGUUAUGCUCAUUUGAGCCUUACAAUAUAAUUUGGUGAGAGUGUGCUGUAAUAAACAAAUUUGAGAUUUGGUUUAUGUAAUAUCGAGCGAUGUGAGGUGUGGUUGUUUUGAGAAAAAAAAAUUCAGGUUGUAUUUAUGUGAGUUGUAUUAAUUCAUGUUUCGGAUUUUGAUUUGUAU